GCAUGGCUAGCUCAGUGGAUAGAGCAUGAGACUCUUAAUCUCAGAGCCGUAGGUUUAGCCCAAUGUUGGACA